AGGUGGGCAGUGUGGUAACUGGCAACGGUGGCUGGGAUUGUGGCAAGGAUUGUGGUGCACUGUGAUGAUGGUUGUAGAUUAACUAUGGAGUAUAGUAGAGUAAAGUUAGUUAACCAUCGAGCGGCUGGUGCACUGGAUAGUAAUGCAUGACGGAUGACAUCUCGUGUGUUGCUCUUGACGUGUCCAAAUCAAUAGUGAUGUCCUUUCGGCCAGCACCACUGCAAUAUAUAGUCGGCUAGGUAGGCAAAUCAGUCAGUCGGCAGGCUUGCCAAAAAUCCGUACACCGAAAUUUGCCUAAACUCGCGCACGCUGCCAUAAAUCCGACGAUCGACGAUGGACGAUGACGACGUCUGUCUCUGUCUCUAUGUCUAUCUCCCUCUGUCUGAGUGUUUCCGUCUCUUUCGCUGACGCUUCGUUUACGUCUGGCACCGCGACGACUAGCCAAGUCCAUGGCAGGGGCAAUCUAGAGGCUUGUUUUGAUCGAAAUCCGGCUAGGCGAGGAUUUUUACAUUACGUGAGUCCUGUCGCAGGACUCGCUGUAUAGUUGAACUAUAGCACCUGUGGCAGCGACAAAGACAGCGACAGAGGCAGCGACAUCGGCAGCAAGGAAAGUGAGUUCUAUUCCAAGGACAUCCAUAAUGCAUGGAACGCGAAACACUGCGAAAAAGGAUAUUUCGAGGGUUUUAUGCUUGAUUUAACAGUUUAUGACUUUAUUUGUGUGACAGACACACAAUGCAACGACAACCAAGACGACUGUCUUCCUCCUUUAUCUCCCUCUCUCACUCUCAUUUGCUUGCUAUCCUUGUCUUCUUGUGCUGCGCCGGCGCCCAGCUCACCACACCUGCAAAUUCGACAGAGCUCGCAAAAUUUUAUUACUGGCGCUAUCGGAUUUGGUACUUCGCGGAAUUUACUAAAAAUUGCCAGAACAAAGACAAAGUCAUAACGCAUGAAUCCCGUACAGUUUCUACAGACGCAGCUUAUGAUCUCAGGAUCUUACUCAUAAGCGUUUAAGUGCAUUAGUUAGGCAAAUAAAAUAGCCAUGUAUGCACUUUU